ACGAACGCUGGCGGCGUGCUUAACACAUGCAAGUCGAACGGAAAGGCCCUGCUUUUGUGGGGUGCUCGAGUGGCGAACGGGUGAGUAACACGUGAGUAACCUGCCCUUGACUUUGGGAUAACUUCAGGAAACUGGGGCUAAUACCGGAUAGGAGCUCCUGCUGCAUGGUGGGGGUUGGAAAGUUUCGGCGGUUGGGGAUGGACUCGCGGCUUAUCAGCUUGUUGGUGGGGUAGUGGCUUACCAAGGCUUUGACGGGUAGCCGGCCUGAGAGGGUGACCGGGCAAAAAGGGGAUAAGGAAGGGCCCCGGCGCCAUCGGGGGGGAGAGGGGGGGAAAUUUUAACAAUGGGGGGGAGGCGGAGUAGGAGACGCCCGGGUUGGGAAGAAGGCCUUUGGGUUGGAAACCCCUUUUGGCUGGGAACAAGGGGUAGGGACGGGAAAUGGGUAAGAAGCACGGGCUAAAUAAGUG
rnacentral:rRNA from 1 species